rnacentral:rRNA from 1 species
CCUACGGGAUGCUGCAGUGAGGACUAUUGGUCAAUGGACGAGAGUCUGAACCAGCCAAGUAGCGUGAAGGAUGACUGCCCUAUGGGUUGUAAACUUCUUUUAUAUGGGAAUAAAACGUUCCACGUGUGGGAUUUUGUAUGUACCAUAUGAAUAAGGAUCGGCUAACUCCGUGCCAGCAGCCGCGGUAAUACGGAGGAUCCGAGCGUUAUCCGGAUUUAUUGGGUUUAAAGGGAGCGUAGGUGGAUUGUUAAGUCAGUUGUGAAAGUUUGCGGCUCAACCGUAAAAUUGCAGUUGAAACUGGCAGUCUUGAGUACAGUAGAGGUGGGCGGAAUUCGUGGUGUAGCGGUGAAAUGCUUAGAUAUCACGAAGAACUCCGAUUGCGAAGGCAGUUCACUGGACUGCAACUGACACUGAGGCUCGAAAGUGUGGGUAUCAAACAGGAUUAGAUACCCGAGUAGUC